rnacentral:rRNA from 1 species
UACGUAGGGGGCGAACGUUGCUCGGAAUUACUGGGCGUAAAGGGUGCGUAGGUGGCUGAGCAAGUCAAAGAUGAAAUCCCGAGGCUCACCCUCGGAACUGUUUUUGAAACUGCUUAGCUUGAGGAUAGUUGAGGAGAAUGGAAUUCCCGGUGGAGCGGUGAAAUGCGUAGAUAUCGGGAGGAACACCUGAGGCGAAGGCGAUUCUCUGGACUAUUCCUGACACUGAGGCACGAAAGCUAGGGGAGCAAACGGGAUUAGAUACCCCCGUA